GGGUAUUAUCCGUGCCGUUCUUUCACUGCCAAAAGUGCUUUACAACCCGAAGGCCUUCAUCGCACGCGAGAUGGCUGGAUCAGGGUUCCCCAUUGUCCAAAAUUCCCCACUGCUGCCUCCGUAGGAGCUGGGCCGUGUCCUCGAACCCAGUGUGGCUGGUCGUCCUCUCAAACCAGCUACGGAUCAUCGCCUUGGUGAGCCGUUACCCCAUAACUAGCUAAUCCGAUAUCAGCCGCUCUAAUAGUGCGAGGCCCGAAGGUCCCCGCUUUCCCCGAAGGGCGUGGCGCGGUAUUAGCUACGCUUUCGCGUAGUUAUCCCCCGCUACUAGGCACGUUCCGAUACAUUACUCACCCGUUCGCCACUCGCCACCCAGACCAGUCCGUGCUGCCGUUCGACUUGCAUGUGUAAAGCAUCCGCCAGCGUUCAAUCUGAGCCAUGAUCGAA
rnacentral:misc_RNA from 1 species